GUGAAGCAGGAGCUUGCUCUUGUGGAUCAGUGGCGAACGGGUGAGUAACACGUGAGCAACCUGCCCCUGACUCUGGGAUAAGCGCUGGAAACGGCGUCUAAUACUGGAUAUGUGACGUGACCGCAUGGUCUGCGUUUGGAAAGAUUUUUCGGUUGGGGAUGGGCUCGCGGCCUAUCAGCUUGUUGGUGAGGUAAUGGCUCACCAAGGCGUCGACGGGUAGCCGGCCUGAGAGGGUGACCGGCCACACUGGGACUGAGACACGGCCCAGACUCCUACGGGAGGCAGCAGUGGGGAAUAUUGCACAAUGGGCGAAAGCCUGAUGCAGCAACGCCGCGUGAGGGAUGACGGCCUUCGGGUUGUAAACCUCUUUUAGCAGGGAAGAAGCGAAAGUGACGGUACCUGCAGAAAAAGCGCCGGCUAACUACGUGCCAGCAGCCGCGGUAAUACGUAGGGCGCAAGCGUUAUCCGGAAUUAUUGGGCGUAAAGAGCUCGUAGGCGGUUUGUCGCGUCUGCUGUGAAAUCCCGAGGCUCAACCUCGGGCCUGCAGUGGGUACGGGCAGACUAGAGUGCGGUAGGGGAGAUUGGAAUUCCUGGUGUAGCGGUGGAAUGCGCAGAUAUCAGGAGGAACACCGAUGGCGAA
rnacentral:rRNA from 1 species